rnacentral:hammerhead_ribozyme from 1 species
AUUCAACUGACGAGUCCUAGAUAGGACGAAACGUCUGUCCUGGAU